rnacentral:rRNA from 1 species
GACGAACGCUGGCGGCGUGCUUAACACAUGCAAGUCGAACGCUGAAGCUCAGCUUUUGUUGGGUGGAUGAGCGGCGAACGGGUGAGUAACACGUGAGUAACCUGCCCUCUUCUUUGGGAUAACGCCCGGAAACGGGUGCUAAUACUGGAUAUUCACUGAUCUUCGCAUGGGGGUUGGUGGAAAGGUUUGUUCCGGUGGGGGAUGGGCUCGCGGCCUAUCAGCUUGUUGGUGGGGUGAUGGCCUACCAAGGCUUUGACGGGUAGCCGGCCUGAGAGGGUGACCGGUCACAUUGGGACUGAGAUACGGCCCAGACUCCUACGGGAGGCAGCAGUGGGGAAUAUUGCACAAUGGGCGAAAGCCUGAUGCAGCGACGCCGCGUGAGGGAUGGAGGCCUUCGGGUUGUAAACCUCUUUCGCUCAUGGUCAAGCCGCGACGUGGGUUGUGGUGAGGGUAGUGGGUAAAGAAGCGCCGGCUAACUACGUG